UCCCAGGUUUUAAAACCACAGUCUGACCCAGGAUCCUUUCCCCAGCUUUGCGAUUCAUUUGCUGUGAAACCAAGUUGGCCUCAUUCAGGAUCAGAGCUUAACCAUCACGACACAUGGGUGAGGGGAAGAUAAAUCACUGUUCCUCCAGCAUCCAAAAAUAUAUCCAAUCCCCCAUUCUUCAUGGCCAUGUGGAAGAAAGAUCCUACUUACUGGUACACCCAUCAACAAAAAACAAACCCAAAAUGGAGAAGAGAAG
rnacentral:lncRNA from 1 species